GACGAACGCUGGCGGCGUGCUUAACACAUGCAAGUCGAACGGAAAGGCCAGUGCUUGCACUGGUACUCGAGUGGCGAACGGGUGAGUAUCACGCGUGUGUUCUGCCUUUCACUCUCUGAUAAGCUUGGGAAACUGGGUCUAUUACCGGAUAUGAACUGCCUUUAGUGUGGUGGCUGUAAUGUUUUUUCGGUUCAAGAUGAGGUCUCGGCCUAUCAGCUCGUUGGUGGGGUAAUGGCCUACCAAGGCGUCGACGGGUAGCCGGCCUGGGAGGGUGUACGGCCACAUUGGGACUGAGAUACGGCGCAGAAUGCUACGGGAGGCAGCGGUGGGAAAUAUUGCACAAUGGGCGGAAGCCUGAUGCAGCGACGCCGGGUGGGGGAUGACGGCUUUCGGGUUGUAAACUACUGUCGACGGGGCCGAAGCGGAAGUGACGGUACCUGUAUAAGAAGCACCGGCUAACUACGUG
rnacentral:rRNA from 1 species